AGUGAACGCUGGCGGUAGGCUUAACACAUGCAAGUCGAACGGCAGCACAGUAAGAGCUUGCUCUUACGGGUGGCGAGUGGCGGACGGGUGAGGAAUACAUCGGAAUCUACUUUUUCGUGGGGGAUAACGUAGGGAAACUUACGCUAAUACCGCAUACGACCUACGGUUGAAAGCAGGGGAUCUUUGGACCUUGCGCGGUUGAAUGAGCCGAUGUCGGUUUAGCUAGUUGGCGGGGUAAAGGCCCACCAAGGCGACGAUCCGUAGCUGGUCUGAGAGGAUGAUCAGCCACACUGGAACUGAGACACGGUCCAGACUCCUGCGGGAGGCAGCAGUGGGGAAUAUUGGACAAUGGGCGCGAGCCUGAUCCAGCCAUACCGCGUGGGUGAAGAAGGCCUUCGGGUUGUAAAGCCCUUUUGUUGGGAAAGAAAAGCAGCAGGUUAAUACCCCGCUGUUCUGACGGUACCCAAAGAAUAAGCACCGGCUAACUUCGUG
rnacentral:rRNA from 1 species